GCCGCGUGUGUGAAGAAGGCCUUCGGGUUGUAAAGCACUUUUGUUAGGGAGGAAAGUCUGGUAGCUAAUAACUGCUAGAUCUGACGUUACCUAAAGAAUCAGCACCGGCUAACUCUGUGCCAGCAGCCGCGGUAAUACAGAGGGUGCAAGCGUUAAUCGGAAUUACUGGGCGUAAAGGGUCUGUAGGCGGAUUAUUAAGUCGGAUGUGAAAUCCCCGGGCUCAACCUGGGAACGGCAUUCGAUACUGGUAGUCUAGAGUGUGCAAGAGGAUGGGGGAAUUCCUGGUGUAGCAGUGAAAUGCGUAGAGAUCAGGAGGAACAUCAAUGGCGAAGGCACCUUUCUGGGGCAACACUGACGCUGAGAGACGAAAGCGUGGGGAGCAAACAGGAUUAGAUACCCUGGUAGUCCACGCCCUAAACGAUGUCAACUAACUGUUCGGAGUCACUAAGAUUCUGAGUAGUGAAGCUAACGCGAUAAGUUGACCGCCUGGGGAGUACGGCCGCAGGGUUGAAACUCAAAGAAAUUGACGGGGGCCCGCACAAGCGGUGGAGUAUGUGGUUUAAUUCGAUGCAACGCGAAGAACCUUACCCGGUCUUGACAUGGUAGGAAUCUUGUAGAGAUACGAGAGUGCCUUCGGGAACCUACACACAGGUGCUGCAC
rnacentral:rRNA from 1 species